UACGAAGGGGGCUAGCGUUGCUCGGAAUCACUGGGCGUAAAGCGCACGUAGGCGGCUUUUUAAGUCAGGGGUGAAAUCCUGGAGCUCAACUCCGGAACUGCCUUUGAUACUGGGAAGCUUGAGUCCGGGAGAGGUGAGUGGAACUCCGAGUGUAGAGGUGAAAUUCGUAGAUAUUCGGAAGAACACCAGUGGCGAAGGCGGCUCACUGGCCCGGUACUGACGCUGAGGUGCGAAGGCGUGGGGAGCAAACAGG
rnacentral:rRNA from 1 species